CGGACAACAAAGGAACCCUUACUCUGCUAUUGCAGCUAGCUGCAGUCUAAGGGCCUUGUUCAAAUGGUCAUGUACUCGAAGGUCAAAUGCGGAUGAUUCUCCUACGACAUAAAAGAAUCACAUAUGUGAGUCCAUGACAAAAUUGAGAGGCAUACUAUAGUCUAAAGCGCCGUCCCAGGAUCAGCUCCAGAAUCCCAGAUCAUCUCAAGUGGGCAACAGUAGAUAUAGUAGCCCAGGCACCAACACCGGCGGAGAAAAGUGAGGAAGAACGAACACGGGUAUAUAACCGUAUGGCCACAUUUCGGAGUGAUCGGAUCAGAGGCUGAGAAUUGAGCAGCAGGAGGAUCAAGGAUGGCUGCAGGAAGGCUCUACAAGCCGAAGAUGAAGAGCUUCUGGAUCCUCGUGCGCCGCCUUCUCCUCCGCAAGAACCACAAGCCGCCGCCAGCUGCAGCGGAGGGGGACGCGGAGGAGGAGAAGAGCGGUCUCCUCGGUAGAAGCCGUUUGGAGCAGCUCCUCCUGGUGACGGAUGAUGGCGCCCCAGGGGAUACCGCCGCCGUCUGCCGGUGCGCCAAGAACCACGACCAGCCAGUGGCGGUACUGUUGCCGGCACUAGCUCGGCCAGAGGCGGCGGCGGUGUCGAUGACAGGUGGGGGAGGCCGCAACGGCGCGGCCGUGCACCGGAGGUUCAUGUUCGGUGGCUUUCGGCGGCGGCUGCUCAUGAGGAGACCGUGGCGGCCGAUGCUUGUCGCCAUCCCGGAGUGAUCGAUCGAUGGAUCAAUGGAAGUCUGAUGAUGUCAAUCACUGCAGCAUCCAAGUGCGUCGAUCCGAUCAACUACCAAAACAGGGUGAGAAAAGUAAUCAGUACAGAGCUACGAUCUGCAGCUAACUCGGUCUUUGAUAAAGCAAAUCCAAUGAUUAAUCCCAACUUUUCCUAAGAAUGUUUCAGUGUAAAUUUACAAAUUUCAAAAAUGACGUGACUGGGAUGCUUGGCAGUGUCUGGAUAGUCGUGCUUAAGCAAUCAAAAGCUAGCACAGUAGCGACAAACAGGUUUGCUUUGGCACGACAACAUCCAAUGAAGUCUGGGCCACUCAUGCCUACUGUUUGGAAUUUGUUCUUUGCUUUCGGCGAUUAGACUCGUCUUUGCUCUUUCGCAGAGUAUCAGACUGCAUUGGACCUAGAUUGGGUGGGCUAGGCGGCAUAA